UACGUAGGGUGCGAGCGUUAAUCGGAAUUACUGGGCGUAAAGUGUGCGCAGGCGGCCGCGCAAGUCGAGUGUGAAAUCCCCAGGCUUAACCUGGGAACUGCAUUCGAGACUGCAUUGCUAGAGUAUGGGAGAGGGAAGUGGAAUUUCCGGUGUAGCGGUGAAAUGCGUAGAUAUCGGAAGGAACAUCAGUGGCGAAAGCGACUUCCUGGACCAAUACUGACGCUCAUGUGCGAAAGCGUGGGGAGCAAACAGG
rnacentral:rRNA from 1 species